UAGCUACAGGCUUAACACAUGCAAGUCGAGGGGAAACGACAUCGAAAGCUUGCUUUUGAUGGGCGUCGACCGGCGCACGGGUGAGUAACGCGUAUCCAACCUGCCCAUCACUUGGGGAUAACCUUGCGAAAGUAAGACUAAUACCCAAUGACGUCUUUAGAAGACAUCUGAAAGGGAUUAAAGAUUUAUCGGUGAUGGAUGGGGAUGCGUCUGAUUAGCUUGUUGGCGGGGUAACGGCCCACCAAGGCGACGAUCAGUAGGGGUUCUGAGAGGAAGGUCCCCCACAUUGGAACUGAGACACGGUCCAAACUCCUACGGGAGGCAGCAGUGAGGAAUAUUGGUCAAUGGGCGAGAGCCUGAACCAGCCAAGUAGCGUGCAGGAUGACGGCCCUAUGGGUUGUAAACUGCUUUUAUAAGGGAAUAAAGUGAGUCUCGUGAGACUUUUUGCAUGUACCUUAUGAAUAAGGACCGGCUAAUUCCGUGCCAGCAGCCGCGGUAAUACGGAAGGUCCGGGCGUUAUCCGGAUUUAUUGGGUUUAAAGGGAGCGUAGGCCGGAGAUUAAGCGUGUUGUGAAAUGUAGACGCUCAACGUCUGCACUGCAGCGCGAACUGGUUUCCUUGAGUACGCACAAAGUGGGCGGAAUUCGUGGUGUAGCGGUGAAAUGCUUAGAUAUCACGAAGAACUCCGAUUGCGAAGGCAGCUCACUGGGGCGCAACUGACGCUGAAGCUCGAAAGUGCGGGUAUCGAACAGGAUUAGAUACCCUGGUAGUCCGCACGGUAAACGAUGGAUGCCCGCUGUUGGUCUGAAUAGGUCAGCGGCCAAGCGAAAGCAUUAAGCAUCCCACCUGGGGAGUACGCCGGCAACGGUGAAACUCAAAGGAAUUGACGGGGGCCCGCACAAGCGGAGGAACAUGUGGUUUAAUUCGAUGAUACGCGAGGAACCUUACCCGGGCUUGAAUUGCAGAGGAAGGAUUUGGAGACAAUGACGCCCUUCGGGGCCUCUGUGAAGGUGCUGCAUGGUUGUCGUCAGCUCGUGCCGUGAGGUGUCGGCUUAAGUGCCAUAACGAGCGCAACCCCUCUCCUUAGUUGCCAUCAGGUCAAGCUGGGCACUCUGGGGACACUGCCACCGUAAGGUG
rnacentral:rRNA from 1 species